rnacentral:lncRNA from 1 species
UGGGUCCCAGGGAUCUGUUUAUCGACCUCCCCAUCCACCAACUACAGGCGUGUUCCACUGUGCCUGACUUUUAAAAAGCAAGAGCAAAAGUUCUCAUUCUUGCAUGGCAAACACUUCACCAAUGACGCUAUCUCUAUGGCCCUUCCUUCUUCUUGUAAUGUAUCUGUGAAAGGUCUCGACCAGUUUGUAGUUCAGCACAGUGGGAUUGCGCUGACUGCACCCUGGGGCACCUCCUUUAUCCUUCAUAGUUCCUGUGCAUUGAUCGUUGCCAUAGUUUGGGUGAGAUGUACCUCCCCGAAGGCCCAGACUGUACUCCUACAGGCAGAGACCUUUUAGUAGGGCACGGUGUUGAUAAAAGAAAGGUAGGUCAUGGUGUGGUGGGUUGCCUGACAUAGGUCUUCCGUAAGCUCCUGUAUUUGAACACUUGGUCCCUAGUUAUUGGUGUUGUUCAGGAGGUUGUGGAACCUUUAGGAAGCAGAGCCUUACUGCUGGAGGAAGAACAUCAUCGGGAGCUGGCCUUUGAUGGUUUCUAUUCCUCUGGAGCCAUGAGCUGAAAGCCAAAAUAAACUCUGUCUUCUUUAAGCUGCUUUUGGUCAUGGCAUUUUGUCACAGCAACACAAGCGUAAGUAACUGAUCCAGGGAGUGUGCCUGUGAGGGGAUGUCAGACCCGGCCUCUUCUUAUUUCAGCUUUCCAGAA